rnacentral:rRNA from 1 species
UCCGUAGGGUGCAAGCGUUGUCCGGAAUUAUUGGGCGUAAAGAGCUCGUAGGCGGUUUGUCGCGUCUGCUGUGAAAGCCCGGGGCUUAACUCCGGGUCUGCAUUCGAUACGGGCAGGCUAGAGUUCGGUAGGGGAGAUCGGAAUUCCUGGUGUAGCGGUGAAAUGCGCAGAUAUCAGGAGGAACACCGGUGGCGAAGGCGGAUCUCUGGGCCGAUACUGACGCUGAGGAGCGAAAGCGUGGGGAGCGAACAGG